GAUGAACGCUGGCGGCGUGCUUAACACAUGCAAGUCGAGCGAGUGAGUUCUUCGGAACGAUCUAGCGGCGGACGGGUGAGUAACACGUGGGCAACCUGCCUCAUAGAGGGGAAUAGCCUCCCGAAAGGGAGAUUAAUACCGCAUAACAUCGUUGAAGGGCAUCCUUCGAUGAUCAAAGGAGCAAUCCGCUAUGAGAUGGGCCCGCGGCGCAUUAGCUAGUUGGUGAGGUAACGGCUCACCAAGGCGACGAUGCGUAGCCGACCUGAGAGGGUGAUCGGCCACAUUGGGAAGAGGACACGGGCCAGAGUCCAACGGGGGGCAGCGGUGGGGAAUAUUGCACAAUUGGGGAAACCCUGAUGCAGCAACGCCGCGUGAGUGAUGACGGCCUGCGGGUUGUAAAGCUCUGUCUUUGGGGACGAUAAUGACGGUACCCAAGGAGGAAGUCACGGCUAACUACGUGCCAGCCGCCGCGGUAA
rnacentral:rRNA from 1 species